AUUGAACGCUGGCGGCAUGCCUUACACACGCAAGUCGGACGGCAGCACGGGAGCAAUCAUGGUGGCGAGUGGCGAACGGGUGAGUAAAGUAUCGGAACGUGCCCAGUCGUGGGGGAUAACGUAGCGAAAGUUACGCUAAUACCGCAUACGAUCUAUGGAUGAAAGCGGGGGAUCGCAAGACCUCGCGCGAUUGGAGCGGCCGAUAUCAGAUUAGGUAGUUGGUGGGGUAAAGGCCCACCAAGCCGACGAUCUGUAGCUGGUCUGAGAGGACGACCAGCCACACUGGGACGGAGACACGGCCCAGACUCCUACGGGAGGCAGCAGUGGGGAAUUGUGGACAAUGGGCGAAAGCCUGAUCCAGCCAUGCCGCGUGCAGGAUGAAGGCCUUCGGGUUGUAAACUGCUUUUGUACGGAACGAAAAGGACUGCCCUAAUACGGUGGUCCCAUGACGGUACCGUAAGAAUAAGCAUCGGCUAACUACGUGCCAGCCGCCGCCGUAAAAC
rnacentral:rRNA from 1 species